ACGGUCCAGACUCCUACGGGAGGCAGCAGUGGGGAAUAUUGCACAAUGGGCGCAAGCCUGAUGCAGCCAUGCCGCGUGUGUGAAGAAGGCCUUCGGGUUGUAAAGCACUUUCAGCGGGGAGGAAGGCGAUAAGGUUAAUAACCUUGUCGAUUGACGUUACCCGCAGAAGAAGCACCGGCUAACUCCGUGCCAGCAGCCGCGGUAAUACGGAGGGUGCAAGCGUUAAUCGGAAUUACUGGGCGUAAAGCGCACGCAGGCGGUCUGUCAAGUCGGAUGUGAAAUCCCCGGGC
rnacentral:rRNA from 1 species